CCGCCCGGCCUCACCCCCACCUCCGCGAGGAUGGCUGAGCCCCGGCGACGUCCUGGCUAAAGCCCUUUUCUCUCUCGUCGCGAUAACCACAGCAGUGCACCGAGGCGACCUGAGGUUUUAGGAAGUGGACCAAGAAUUGGAGAGGCACCUGCCAAGCUGUUUGCCAGAUAAAAAAUACAGGAUGCCAGUUAAAUGUGAAUUUCAGAGACCUUUAAGAAGCACAGUAAGAGGUCCUGGAUAACCUGCUAUAGGAAAGAGAACAUCCAAAAAUUUCUAUCGAAAUCUUGAGGAGAAACAAAA